UGGACUCAAAACUGUAAAUUGCUCUGGAUAAGAGUGUCUGCUAAAUGACUAACA
rfam:Salmo salar isolate Sally breed double haploid chromosome ssa10, whole genome shotgun sequence.